UCUGGUAGAUAUUACGAGAAGGACACACCCGUUCCCAUACCGAACACGGCAGUUAAGCUUCUAAAGUGCCGAUGAUACUUGGCUGGUGACGGCCCGGGAAAGCAGGUCUCUGCCAGAU
rnacentral:rRNA from 1 species